GACGAACGCUGGCGGCGUGCAUAAUACAUGCAAGUCGAGCGAAGCGGCGGAUGGGUGAGUAACGCGUGGGUAACCUGCCCUUAAGUCUGGGAUACCAUUUGGAAACAGAUGCUAAUAACGGAUACUAACGGAUGGGCAUUGGAGGCAUUAGCUAGUUGGUAAGGUAACGGCUUACCAAGGCGUGGAUGCAUAGCCGAGUGGAGGGACGGAUCGGCAACAUUGGUACUGAGACACGGCCCAAACUCCUACGGGAGUCAGCAGUAGGGAAUCUUACACAAUGGACGAAAGUCGGAUGGAGCAACGCCGCGUGAGGGAAGAAGGUUUUCGGAUUGUAAAGCUCUGUUGUUGGUGAAGCGGUAAUCAACCAGAAAGUCACGGCUAACUACGUGCCAGCAGCCGCGGUAAUUC
rnacentral:rRNA from 1 species